UGCGUAGGCGGGCUAAUAAGUCAGUGGUGAAAUCUCUCGGCUCAACCGGGAAACUGCCAUUGAUACUGUUAGUCUUGAGUUCGGUUGAGGUAGGCGGAAUGUGUAAUGUAGCGGUGAAAUGCUUAGAUAUUACACAGAACACCAAUUGCGUAGGCAGCUUACUAGACCGACACUGACGCUGAGGCACGAAAGCGUGGGGAGCGAACAGGAUUAGAUACCCGAGUAGUCC
rnacentral:rRNA from 1 species